AUUGAACGCUGGCGGCAGGCUUAACACAUGCAAGUCGAGCGGAAACGAAGAUAGCUUGCUAUCAGGCGUCGAGCGGCGGACGGGUGAGUAACGCGUAGGAACCUACCUAAUAGUUUGGGAUAGCCAUUGGAAACGAUGAUUAAUACCGGAUACGCCCUACGGGGGAAAGCAGAGGACCUUCGGGCUUUGCGCUAUUAGAUGGGCCUGCGUGAGAUUAGCUAGUUGGUGGGGUAAUGGCCCACCAAGGCGACGAUCUCUAGCUGGUCUGAGAGGAUGAUCAGCCACACUGGAACUGAGACACGGUCCAG
rnacentral:rRNA from 1 species